rnacentral:lncRNA from 10 species
GCAGGAUUUUACCAUAUUGGCCAGGCUGGUCUUGAACUUCCAACGUCAGGUGAUCCACCUACCUCGGCCUCCCAAAGUGUUGGAAUUACAGACGUGAGCCACCGAGCCCGUCCUAAUGUUCAUUUCUUACUAAACUUGAAUAAGACUCCUGGUGUGGGGGAGGGGAGUCAGUUUCAGUUAAGUAGUUGUUAGGAUGAUCUUGAAGUAUUAGUUAGCCUGAAUCAUUUUUAAAUUCCCUUCAGAAACCAAGAAUGUUAUUCAACUGUACCAAAUAAAUAACAACACGUCAGUUGCUAAUGGAACACGGUCACACUGGCCAUCUAUGGAAAUCCUCAUGUUUCCAAUGCUCUCAUUAACU